GGGGAUGCCAGGCAUCGACGGUUAGUCGUGUCGGAUGUGUGCAGUGUCGAAAACUGGUAAUCAAUUCGUUAAAAGGUUCCAUUCUGUACGUGCAAACAAAGCAGUACCAAGUCCUUACGCUCGCGCGUUUGGAUUCACACCCGCUUUCGCGUAAUAACGCCAGCCGAUGUGAUGCUCCGCUCAUAAACGUCUCAUACGUGAGCCGGGGUAGAAUAGCCACGAGACUGUGGAAACCAUUGUCGUUGUCAUAGGUUUCCAAGAUUGUAACAACUCGAGACCGUAGUGUUUGGUUAGUCUUCUAGCUACAGGUCUUUAAACAGAAGCAAUUCUGACAAAGGCUAACUACGCACUGUAGACUCACCUUCGCACCCUGAUUCGGACGGGGUUUCGAUUACCCCCAUCUCCACCA
rnacentral:tmRNA from 1 species